UUUGACUUGUAAACACCUGGGCCUUUUAAUGGGAUGAGACCAGUGUUCUUGCUUCUCAGCAAGAGGCGACCCAACCGGUGGCGGUGCAAGGACUGGGCAGAGCACAGAAUAUGGGGAAGGGUGGUCUGGAAAAGCACGCCCAGAGCCGAGGGGAGGGGCCGGAGGGGUGCCUGCUCCCUGGAAAGACAGGUUCCCGCUUCGGGAUUCUGAGUCUCCGGGUCUGCAGGCAGAGGCCCGCCCGCCUCGGGGUCUGGUGACCGUGGACCCGAGGCGCGUGCGGCAGCGCCCUCUGCCGGCCGCGCGGGACAAGCGUCCAGCCCCGCGGCUCUGCAGGUGGGACCCGGGAUCCCUCCCGCUGCCUCCGCCCCCGCCCCCGCUCCCGCUCCAUCCCUUCCGAGGACCGCGCGGCCAGGUCCCCGACCGGAUUCCAGGAGACGCGUCCUUAUCUGACGCCUGCGGGCUGAGCAGAGACGAUGCUUGGAAACAUCCGAUUCACCUGGGGAUCGGAGGCCGCGGGAACCCACCUAAACCCCGCAGGGGCUGCGCCUCUUGGGCUCCGCGGCCAAAGUCUGCCGGGCUGUCGGAGGUGGUUUGGAAGUGGCAUCGCCUAUGGCCAAGACCGCGGGUUCUGCGGACAGAGAGGAGCCCUGGGUUCGCUUUCUGCCUCAUCCAUUUUCCAGCUAGGUGAACUUGGGCAAGCGAAGGACAGUCGGCCUUCCCGAGUGUGGAAAAUCGAGGUGCCCCUGGAAGAGGGCCAAGGACGCGGCCGUGGGCUGCGGGGCCCGGGACCUCCCGGAGGAUGCCCGCGCCGCGCCGCCUCCGCCCGCGCCUCCGUUCGCGCGCGUCAGAGCCGCAGUGACGUCGCCAGGAUGGCCUGGACUUUCUUCCCACGUGGCAGCUGGGUCCCAGGAAGGACAUUCUGAGAGAUCAAGCCCUGAUGUGUACGCACUUCUCAAGCCUCUGCUUGAGUCGCACUUGCCGAUGACUAAGGCCCUGGGACCUCAAGUACAAUGCUGGGAAGAAGAGUUGACGCAGAUAUUUUUGUCUUGCUCCUGAUUUCAAAAGGGAUGUUUCAAACAUUUCACCUUGAAGAAUGAUAUUUGCUGUAAUUAUUUGGUAAAAACUCUUUAUCAGGUAAUGAGGCAGCUGCCGCCGUGUCCACUUCCUGUUCUGGGGCCUCAGCGUCUGAAGAGGGCAGACAGCGCGCUCAGGACCUGCCCCUGCCCCGGCCCCUUCGUAUCAGGAAUUCGCUUGUCCUGGAUGGUUCAGCACUUCACAUUUUCAAAAUUUCAGCCAUUGUGUUUAUUGAAAGUGCACCGAGCACAAAACACCGCAGUUCAUCUCUCUCUCUUUCUCGCUCUCUCUCUCGUGGAUGGGAAGAUUGUUCUGAAUCUAUGAAGGCAUUUAUUCACAGUGGCUUCCGAGUCAGGCUCUGCACUACUUCAAUUUUAGAUGUUUUUCUUAAUCUCCUGUUGUGUGUGGCAGUUCAGGAACAGACACUGUGAGACAGAGAGGGGGACUCUGGAUCCGGAUUCAGGCAGCCCGGGUUCAAAUCCUAGGCUUUCCCCUCCCCGUGCCUAGCUGAGUGACCGUGGGCACGUCAUUUCACUUCCAGAAGCCUCGCCUUCGUGGUCCAUCAAAUGAAAUACUAUCUCCCUCUCCAGAGUUGUUGUAAGGAUGAGCUGAAAUGGCGUGUCUGAGCACAGCACAGAGCCGUAUCCCGUUUGUGUACAUUUCCUUCAGUUCAUGCACGUGGCUUCUUUUCCAGGUGAAUUCCAGACUUCGGGAGUUUGUAGACUAGGAAAAUCUCAAAACACGUUUUGAUGAGCAUACUUUUGCCAAGUUUUUAUUUUGCCAACUUUUAAUGUUGCCAAGUAAGAACAGUAUUAAAAAAACCAACACAACUCACCUUCAUCUAUUUCCACUAAAUUUCAUAAAAGAAUAUUUAAAAAAAAAAUCAAGAGGACAUCGUUACGAGUCAAAAAUGGAUUAUGUUUAGC
rnacentral:lncRNA from 1 species